GAUGAACGCUGGCGGCGUGCCUAAUACAUGCAAGUCGAGCGGUAAGGCCACUUCGGUGGUACACGAGCGGCGGACGGCUGAGUAACGCGUAGGAACGUACCCCAGACUGAGGGAUAAGCACCAGAAAUGGUGUCUAGUACCGCAUGUGCUCUAAGGAGUAAAGCUUCGGCGGUUUGGGAACGGCCUGCGUCUGAUUAGCUUGUUGGUGAGGUAAAAGCUCACCAAGGCGACGAUCAGUAGCUGGUCUGAGAGGAUGAUCAGCCAGACUGGGACUGAGACACGGCCCAGACUCCUACGGGAGGCAGCAGUAGGGAAUUUUCCACAAUGGGCGCAAGCCUGAUGGAGCAACGCCGCGUGCAGGAUGAAGGCCUUCGGGUCGUAAACUGCUUUUCUCUGUGACGAUUAUGACGGUAGCAGAGGAAUAAGGGUCGGCUAACUACGUGCCAGCAGCCGCGGUAA
rnacentral:rRNA from 1 species